rnacentral:rRNA from 1 species
CAGUAGCCGCGGUAAUACGAAGGGUGCAAGCGUUAAUCGGAAUUACUGGGCGUAAAGCGUGCGUAGGCGGUUUGUUAAGUCUGCUGUGAAAUCCCCGGGCUCAACCUGGGAAUGGCAGUGGAUACUGGCUCGCUAGAGUGUGUCAGAGGAUGGUGGAAUUCCCAGUGUAGAGGUGAAAUUCGUAGAUAUUGGGAAGAACACCGGUGGCGAAGGCGGCAACCUGGCUCAUUACUGACGCUGAGGCGCGAAAGCGUGGGGAGCAAACAGGAUUAGAUACCCCUGUAGUCCCUGUCUCUUAUAC